GACAGUAUAGCAUAGUGGUAAGGUGGUGGGCUCGUAACUGAAAGGUUGCUGGUUCGAUUCCCUGCUGGGG